UUACGGCCACAUCACGUUGAAAUACCAGUUUCCGUACUAUCACCGAAGUUAAACAACGUCGAGCCUGGCCGGUACCUAGAUGGGUGACUGGUUGGGAAGACCAGGUGCUGUAAG